rnacentral:rRNA from 1 species
GUUCUGUAAGCCUGCGAAGGUGUGCUGUGAGGCAUGCUGGAGGUAUCAGAAGUGCGAAUGCUGACAUAAGUAACGAUAAAGCGGGUGAAAAGCCCGCUCGCCGGAAGACCAAGGGUUCCUGUCCAACGUUAAUCGGGGCAGGGUGAGUCGACCCCUAAGGCGAGGCCGAAAGGCGUAGUCGAUGGGAAACAGGUUAAUAUUCCUGUACUUGGUGUUACUGCGAAGGGGGGACGGAGAAGGCUAUGUUGGCCGGGCGACGGUUGUCCCGGUUUAAGCGUGUAGGCUGGUUUUCCAGGCAAAUCCGGAAAAUCAAGGCUGAGGCGUGAUGACGAGGCACUACGGUGCUGAAGCAACAAAUGCCCUGCUUCCAGGAAAAGCCUCUAAGCAUCAGGUAACAUCAAAUCGUACCCCAAACCGACACAGGUGGUCAGGUAGAGAAUACCAAGGCGCUUGAGAGAACUCGGGUGAAGGAACUAGGCAAAAUGGUGCCGUAACUUCGGGAGAAGG